CAAAAUCAGCAGGGUAAGUCGCUCUGGAUAAGAGCGUCUGCUAAAUGACGUAAA
rfam:Salmo salar isolate Sally breed double haploid chromosome ssa17, whole genome shotgun sequence.